AAUAGACUAAAUUACUAUUAAACCCAAAGCCCAAUUACAACCACAAGCCCAAUUAAAUAUUUCCAUAUAGUCUAACAUCUCCCCGCAAACUCACAAUGCGUUUACAUGACAUAAAGCAUUGAGAGUUUGUCAUACAAAAUUAAAACCCAAAAUAGAAGAAAUAAAACCAAAACAACUAAAAUUGUAACCAGCAGAAAGCAGCAACUAGCAACCAAAAGCGAGAACCAUCCAAGAGAGAAGCAUCAGCCAAACCGAAGAAGAGAACCAUCAAAAGGAAGAACUAAUUCAAACCAAACUUAUCCAAUCCAGACUAAACCAAAUCAAAUUGUACCAAUCCAAUCCA
rnacentral:lncRNA from 1 species